rnacentral:rRNA from 1 species
CCUACGGGAGGCAGCAGUAGGGAAUUUUCGUCAAUGGGCGCAAGCCUGAACGAGCAAUGCCGCGUGAACGAGGAAGGUCUUCGGAUCGUAAAGUUCUGUUGAAGGGGAAAAAGAGCGGAGAGAGGAAAUGGUCUCCGAUUGAUAUUACCCUUCGAGGAAGUCACGGCUAACUACGUGCCAGCAGCCGCGGUAAUACGUAGGUGGCGAUCGUUAUCCGGAAUGAUUGGGCGUAAAGGGUGCGUAGGCGGCCUGCUAAGUCUGGAGUGAAAGGUACCGGCUCAACCGGUACAGGCUCUGGAAACUGGCGGGCUAGAGAGCAGGAGAGGGCGGUGGAACUCCAUGUGUAGCGGUAAAAUGCGUAGAUAUAUGGAAGAACACCAGUGGCGAAGGCGGCCGCCUGGCCUGUUACUGACGCUGAGGCACGAAAGCGUGGGGAGCAAAUAGGAUUAGAUACUCCAGUAGUC